UUUAUCGGAGAGUUUGAUCCUGGCUCAGGACGAACGCUGGCGGCGUGCCUAAUACAUGCAAGUCGAGCGGACAGAUGGGAGCUUGCUCCCUGAUGUUAGCGGCGGACGGGUGAGUAACACGUGGGUAACCUGCCUGUAAGACUGGGAUAACUCCGGGAAACCGGGGCUAAUACCGGAUGGUUGUCUGAACCGCAUGGUUCAGACAU
rnacentral:rRNA from 1 species